AGCGACCCGCGGCCACCUCGGCCUUUUCAGGCGUCCUAGGUACUCCGCCUCUGAGGCGGCGGAGCGCGGGUCAAAGGUCUUGCAACGAGGCGACUACGCCUCCCCCGCGUCUCCAAGGCUACGCAGAGCGGCACUUCCGCUUCCUCCUGGGUGUCUGGGAGGAAGUUCUCUGUGCGCAGGUCCCCUGGCCAAGCCAGAGCAUGCUGAGUCGCCCAGCACCGUCCUGUGCCUAGGGACAAGCUUGAGCACAGAUGGAACCACUAAGAAAACCACAGUCAUCAGUAAUAUUCAGAGGGAUCCAUCCCAAACCACUUCCACACCUCAGAGAAAAUUGAGGAAGAAGGGCUGGAAAGAUUGUGAGAGGUACAGAAUCAGGAAGUUUGGGGGUGAGAUUCUGUCUCCUAGUAAUGUCAAAAGCUACACCUAUAAAUCUCACCAACGUGACUGCCCAAGAAGGAACAAGGAAUGCAUCAAUGGAUAUGGUGAAGUGGGAUGAGAAGAGCCAGUUAGGCCCCCACUCCACAUAGAGAACUACAGGCAUCUGAGGAGAGUUGGGAACAAGAGAGGUGGUUCUUCCCAAGGAAGGGCACGUGAGUUGGUUGUCCAGUAGCAAAUAGCCCUGAAAACAUACAUACAAGUAACAUGGGCUAAAGAGGAUAUAGUUAAUAAUAUAUGUGUAUAUUAUAUAUGUCUGCAAUAACAAUUCAUAAAAAAGCCAUGAAUUGAUGGAGAGCAGAGAAGAUUACAUUAGAAGGGUUUUGAGGGAGGAAAGAAAAGGGAGAAAUGUAAUUAUUGCUAGGCUGCCCAGGUCGGGGAGACUAAGUCUUUGCACAUCAAAGGUUAAGUGAAAAGACUUUUAUGGGAUGUCCAGGGGACUCCAGUUUAAGAGUAGUGCAAACGAAGCACUUCUCAGAAAAAGCAAACAAGACAUGAGGUAGCAUUUAUAGUUAUCGUAAGCAAAUAUAAGUGCAUUAA